AAUCAAGGCCCUAAACGGAAAGUGUCAGGAUCUUGGGCUCCCAAGUUGUGAUGUUGCCACCAGUAUUAGAACACAGUGGUCUCCAAAAUCUUGCCAAUGAAUCCUCCAAGGUGCGUACCAAGUUCCGGAAUAACUGAAAGAACAUCACAUACACAGGCUGGGUACAGUAGCUCACAUCUGUAAUCCCAGCACUUUGGGAGGCCGAGGUGGGAAGACUGCUUAAGGCCAGGAGUUCAAGACCACCCUGGGCAACAUAGUGAGACCUUGUCUCUACCCUCCUCCCCAACCCCCCCCAAAAAAGCACCACCUGUCAAGGAGAAU
rnacentral:lncRNA from 1 species